rnacentral:rRNA from 1 species
UACGGAGGGUGCAAGCGUUAUCCGGAUUCACUGGGUUUAAAGGGUGCGUAGGUGGGCAGGUAAGUCAGUGGUGAAAUCUCCGGGCUUAACCCGGAAACUGCCAUUGAUACUAUUUGUCUUGAAUACCGUGGAGGUCAGCGGAAUAUGUCAUGUAGCGGUGAAAUGCUUAGAUAUGACAUAGAACACCAAUUGCGAAGGCAGCUGGCUACACGAAUAUUGACACUGAUGCACGAAAGCGUGGGGAUCAAACAGGA